rnacentral:rRNA from 1 species
GACGAACGCUGGCGGCGUGCUUAACACAUGCAAGUCGAACGAUGAAGCUGGAGCUUGCUCCAGUGGAUUAGUGGCGAACGGGUGAGUAACACGUGAGCAAUCUGCCCUUGACUCUGGAAUAACUGCGGGAAACUGUAGCUAAUACCGGAUACGACACCUUGGGGCAUCCCGGGGUGUGGAAAGAAUUUCGGUCAAGGAUGAGCUCGCGGCCUAUCAGCUUGUUGGUGAGGUAAAGGCUCACCAAGGGGACGACGGGUAGCCGGCCUGAGAGGGUGACCGGCCACACUGGAACUGAGACACGGUCCAGACUCCUACGGGAGGCAGCAGUGGGCAAUAUUGCACAAUGGGCGAAAGCCUGAUGCAGCAACGCCGCGUGAGGGAUGACGGCCUUCGGGUUGUAAACCUCUUUUAGCAGGGAAGAAGCGAAAGUGACGGUACCUGCAGAAAAAGCACCGGCUAACUACGUGCCAGCCGCCGCCGUAA